GAUAAAGCAGCCACAGAUGAAAUAGAAACGCGAGCCCCAUGCAGAGCAGAGGGACAGCUUUAAAAGCCACCUUUGCUUCAGAAGAUACUUCCACAGAAAACAAACGUUUCUCAAGCCAGUAUUAAUGCUAUUCAUGUUUCUCCCUCAGUCUGUCCCAAGGGGCACAGAGAUCACUGCUUGGCUUCUUACCUUGCUGGGAAGGACAUCAUCAUCAGAAGGAACACUGCUGAUCAGAAGAGAAGGGAAGAGAAGCGUUGAGAUUAGAUUCACUCCUGGAAACUCAUGCCAUACGUUCACAGAUCUAACUACAGAAAAUGAGCCCAGAAUCAGCUAUGCCGAAGUCAGAGGGACUCUAGGCUGUUUGCAGCAGUGUAACCUUUGUAGUCCACUAGUUAUGAUGUUGGAUGAGAAGACUUGAGUUCUAAUCCUGACUGUGGUGCUGUGUGAG